GCAGUGGUGCAGCUUCUGUAGAUGCUACAUGGCUUUUCUCUCCCCUACAUGCGACCCCAGAGCAUUGUGCUAAAGCCGGUAUGAACAGUUGACCUUUGUGGUGUUACAGGCUAUUCAUUAUUCCUCAGGAAAAAUUCCUGGCUGCUUCAUACACUCACUGAAAGCCAAGUACAUUUCCUUGACUCAUUUUGGGUAUUGCGCAAAGGAAACAUAUGUUAAACUGGCAGUGUUUGAAGCAAGAACUCGCCGUAUGUUAAUGAUAAGGAUUGUCCUCAUGUGGGCCAAUCCAAACAAAAGGAUGAGACUGCAUUCUGAUUUUAUGUACAGAGUAAGCCAAUAGUAUUUCUAUUGCCCUAAAGAGAAGAUUGCUGCAAGUUGCUCUGUUAUGUUUUCAUGAUUGUUUUAUUUAUUGGUGUUGUGAUAGCAUCCAGUGGCCCCACUCAUGAGUCAGGCUAGUAGAAUGAUGGAUGUGCUGCACCCAUACAAGAAAGUGUUCUAUUAGCAUCCUGUCAGCAACUGUAUAUGACAGCAAGAUGGAAAUGGAGACCAGAACUGCGUGAUGGAGAGGCAAUUAUUACACUAAUCUCAGUUAUUCUACGGUAUCGUUGAUGAGAACGUAGUGAUUGGUAUUGAAAGAUAAGACAUAUUCCACAUUUCCUCCAUGCUUGCUUACUUAAGAUUUGCAUUUUUAAUGCUGCAAGUGUCUCAAUUGCAAUCAUAUCGCUGGGUUUAUCCCAGAGCCAUAUCUAUUGGGCACUAGUACUUUAUUUUCUACCCAUUCCUUUUCAGGUCCCAUGCUUUCCAGAGGUUUUUCCACUGCCAACUGAAGUUCAGAACAGUCACCCCAGCAAAAACAAGGCAAGAGUGCUGCAAUACCACCUUCGAAUUGAAGCACGUCUCAAGCCUACAGUCAGUUAAGUGAUUUUUGUUUCAUAAUGUCAUUGAAAAGUAUUGAAUUUACUUGCGAUGCACUAUAAAAUAUUAUGAAAUCUGUCUUUGCUGGGUUUUUAACAGCUUGUGAAAUUUCAUUCCUUAUUAAAUUUCUAGACUUCCAUUUAUUAAUUUCUGUUAUGAAGGAUUUUGAUUAAUAUGGGGAGCCCUGCGGUUUUACAGAUUUAUACUGCUGUCUGUAUUGUACUGCAGUCAUUUCACUAAGGGAGCCAGACAGGGUAACUUAAGAAAUGUAAAUUUAUGGCUUAUUAGACCACUUUUAUUUUAGAAAGUGCAGAACUGCAAAUACACUAGAGAACAUUGAUGUAUUAAUAUUGCUUGAUAGUCCUUUGAUAGCACCAUACUAAAUACAACUUGCAAAGGCAAAAGAGAGAUUCUUAGCAUUUUUUGCUUAUGAUGUGUAAGAAAGACUUUCUGAAAGGGUUUUAUGGGGGGAUUACUUGUGUGGUUGAGUUUGGGGGUUUUGCAUGCUUGGAUUUGGGGGGGAAGGAAAGGACUGUUUCUUUAUUUCUCCACGUAUUCUCAUGAGUGGUCUGCCUGCCCCCAGAUCUGCACCUGUGUAUGGACCCACAAGCUGAUGCUCCACAGCCUUCCCAGCUCCCUGGCCACAUCAGAUCAACCUCAGUGUUCUCUCAGCCUCGAGAACACCGCAGCUCCCUGGCCUAAAAGCUCAGAUCAACAUUGCACACACCCUGAAGGCAGCCAGACCUUGAGGAGGGUGGAUGCUCUUAGCGCCUCGAGAGACCAGGGAGCUGCAGUGUGCAGCAUAGGAGCAGCUACAGAAGUGCUGAAGCUCAGCAUUAAAAGGGACAUCCUGGCAGGUGUGAAGAGUCCAGCAGCACAAUAAGGCUAAUGGUGCUGUUUUGACCUGUCACAGAUACACCUUACUGAAGACUGACGUGCCUACGACAAGACUUGGAUGAUAAUGGUCUCUCUGGUUUAUGGAAAAAGUGAGGAAAAAAUUGCCAAGCAGCAUCAUUAAACUGAUGAUGCCCCUCCAGUCAUUUUCCUCUGCUCUGGCUGUCUCCUGUUUCCUGAAAUUUUGAAUCUAGGAGCUGUUACAAACAGAAGGCUUGGGAUAUAUGCACUGCUCUCAGUUCCCAGCAAAAUGGAUGGGAACUGGGACACUUUCAGCAACAAGCUCCUUCUGACCGUGCACUGGGAGUCCCCAUCUCCUGAUACCCAGCAGCAGAAGAAAGGGCAGGUGCUGCCAUCUGAGGAAAGGUUUUUGCAUUGGCAGCAUUCAGCACUACCAGGUCACUGUAUCAGCAUGUUCUUUGGGCUCAGCUGUAUGAGGCAGUAUUUUCAACUCACAUCAUCUCCAAAGCAAGUGCAAAAAUACCCAGUAACAACAACAGGAGAACUUUGAUGAAAAACAAAUCAAGCUCAGGAGUAGCCUUGUUGUUGUGUUGUCCAUGUGCAUUCAUUUUUCAGUUCAGAUUAGUCAUGCACUGAAGGGAUAGGAAGUUCACAAAAGGGCGGCCAAAUCUCAUGGUCAGAACUGGGGCACUGGAAGGAAAAACCAGCAUGUAAACCAGACAAAUACGAGCCCAUGAUUGCAUUGAAAUCUCAAAGGUUAAUGUAAGAUAUGUUCAUAACUGCUUUUGCUGAGGAAAAAAACCCCAGCCUGUGCCAUGCAAUUACACAUUUAAGCUCUGUGGACAAGAUCUGUUUACUGAAUGUGAAAGGCAUACACGCCAGGCUGCUGGGCCGAGAGUCCUGUGUAAUCACCACAGGCUGCAACACAAACACAACAGUCUGAAGACCUCUGACAUCUUAUGAGUGCUUUUCUCUUACAGAGUGAGGAGAGUUUGGACCUUAAAAGGAAAAUGAGCUAAGCUGCUUUAAUUAGUAGGGCCAGAGAGAAAGAAACAAAGAAUGACUCUGGAGAGAGGUAAGUACAUGUGAAAGCUGGCAGGGAAACCGAUGCCAAGCAGGUCGGAAUAAAUAUCAAAUAUAGAUGGACUCACGUGUGCAGAUGCCAAACCAAACUGUUUCUAUGUAAUUCCAAGAAGGAAAUGCAAAAGAACUUCCAAAGCACAAAUCUGUGAUAACUGGGAAACACUCUAAUUGAGUAUAUUUACCUUUCGGCACAGUCAUAAAGAACUGAUUCUGCUCUCUUAGAAACAACAGCUGUUCACUGCUUAAGGCUCUUACUGAUUUGCACCAUGGACACUAGUGCAAAAGAGACCCAAGUUUAUGCUAUUGUGGCUCAUCUGUACUGGGUCUUGAUUCACGCAGCUCCGUCAGUACGAUUAGUGCUGCGCUAGCCAGCAGCACCAGUGGCAAAUGUGACUAGACAGAAAGUUAUCUCAGAUGCACAAAGAAAAUUAAAAAUACCAGCAAUCUGUGGGGCUAUUUUCAUGCUGUUUUCAGGCAAACAUGAUUUGUGAAGUGGUGGUUGCUUCACAAGCAGUGAGUCACGGAAGCUUAGCCUCUGCAGCAUCUCUUUUUUCCUUAGGCAGCACUUUCCAUGGCAGUAUCAGUGUAGAUAAGAGCAGUGUUUUAGGGCUUGUCCUGAUAGCACAGUGAGCAGAACCUGCUGUCAAGCCAGAACAGGUAGGAAAAACACAGGCCAUACGAAAGGGAAACCCACUUCAUGUCAGAAAGGUUGGACUCUCAGAUGUGGAUGAAGCCAGAAGCAGUGUGACAUCCUGCUCCAAGUUACUCGGCAUAAAAGCAGGAGUGGAAGCAGCACUGGUUGAAGCUUGGCUACACUGGGCAUCAAGUGAGAUGGAAUGAGAUGCAGCACAACUGCGGCAUCUUUCUAUCCUGGUAUUCUGAUAUAAAGACAUAUUUAAGUUAUUAUUCUGAUGCCUGCAGGAAUCUUAAUGUGUGAGGAAGCAAAUGUUUUUUCUCUAUUACAAGCUUUGUUAAUAAAACACUUUGAAGAUUCUUAGGUUAACAUU